rnacentral:misc_RNA from 1 species
AACAUCGCGCACCUGCGGGAACCUGCGGAGGGAUCAUUACAGAGUUCGUGCCCUCGCGGGUAGAUCUCCCACCCUUGUGUAUUCUCUACAUCUUGUUGCUUUGGCAGGCCGUUGGUUCGCCAACCACCGGCUCGCGGGCUGGUGCGUGCCUGCCAGAGGACCUCUCAAACUCGGUUUGUUAGUGUCGUCUGGGUACCAUAACAAUCGUUAAAACUUUCAACAACGGAUCUCAGAUCGGAA